rnacentral:rRNA from 1 species
AACAUGUCUUAUAUGAAUAAGUAAUUUUAAGUUUAACCUGCCCGAUGAUGUUGGUUUGAAUGGCCGCAGUAUAUUAACUGUGCUAAGGUAGCAUAAUCAAUUGUCUUUUAAUUGAAGGCUUGAAUGAAUGGUUGGACGAAGUGUUUUCUUUCUUUUAAUUAUUGUAUGAAUUUAAUUUUUAAGUCAAAAAGCUUAAAUUUUUUUGUGGGACGAGAAGACCCUAUAGAUCUUUAUAUUUAUUAUUUUUACUUUAUUUUGUUUAUUUUUAAAUUAAUUUUAUAUGUAUUUGGUUGGGGUGACUAUAGAAUUUUAUUAACUUCUAUUUUAUUUAUCAUUGAUUAAUGUUUUUUUGAUCCAUAAAUAGUGUGAUUAUAAGAUUAAGUUACCUUAGGGAAAACAGCGUUAUUUUCUUGGAGAGUUCUUAUCGAUAAGGGAGUUUGCGACCUCGAUGUUGGAUUAA